CAGUCGCCGCGGGAAUACGUAGGUGGCAAGCGUUGUCCGGAUUUAUUGGGCGUAAAGCGAGCGCAGGCGGUUUCUUAAGUCUGAUGUGAAAGCCCCCGGCUCAACCGGGGAGGGUCAUUGGAAACUGGGAAACUUGAGUGCAGAAGAGGAGAGUGGAAUUCCAUGUGUAGCGGUGAAAUGCGUAGAUAUAUGGAGGAACACCAGUGGCGAAGGCGGCUCUCUGGUCUGUAACUGACGCUGAGGCUCGAAAGCGUGGGGAGCAAACAGGAUUAGAUACCCCUGUAGUCCCUGUCUCUUAUAA
rnacentral:rRNA from 1 species